rnacentral:rRNA from 1 species
UGCCAGCAGCCGCGGUAACACGGGGGGCGCAAGCGUUAUUCGGAAUUAUUGGGCGUAAAGCGCGCGUAGGCGGCUUGAUUAGUCGGAUGUGAAAGCCCUGGGCUCAACCUGGGAAUGGCAUUCGAAACUGCAGAACUAGAGUAUGGUAGAGGGAAGUGGAAUUUCCGGUGUAGCGGUGAAAUGCGUAGAUAUCGGAAGGAACACCGGUGGCGAAGGCGACUUCCUGGGCCAAUACUGACGCUGAGGCGCGAAAGCGUGGGUAGCAAACAGGAUUAGAUA